GCAGCGGGAGGACGCGCGGAGCGUCUGGAAACCUGGUCUCCGAGGGGCUUCCCGUGAUGGGCGCGUCCUGGAGCCUCCGGGAGGCCUGGCGCGGGGCGGCGGCUCAGUGGUGAGCGCUGGCACCUGCGGGAGUUCGGGUCUGACCUGGACGGAGGCCGACCAGGGGAGGAAGGAGUUCUCCGCUUCCGAAAGCAGACGCACAGGCGUUCGGGGGCCCUGGAAAGGAAACUGGCCACCUGCAAAUUUCUGCUGGCAAUCCAAAUGAAUUUUGAACUUUAAAAAAGAUGGCGCGUUACCUGUGCAGCCUUAUUUUUAUGGAAUUUGAGUUACAAAGUUCAACAGGAUCAUCACACCUGAGGAGCGGUUGGUCAGAUUUUUUUGUGAGCUGCCAAGACAUGCCAAUAUUUGGUCUCUGUCCAGCCCAUGAUGAUUUCUACUUGGUGGUGUGUAACGACUGCAAUCAGGUUGUCAAACCGCAGGCAUUUCAAUCACAUUAUGAAAGAAGACAUAGCUCAGCCAGCAAGCCUUCUUUGGCCGUUCCUCCCACGUCAGUAUUCUCCUUCUUCCCUUCUCUGUCCAAAAGCAAAGGCGGCAAUGCCAGUGGAAGCAGCCGCUCUGCCAGCGGCGGUGUUCUCAGCGCAUCCUCAUUAAGUUCCAAGCUGUUGAAAUCGCCCAAAGAGAAACUGCAGCUCAGGGGGAACACCAGGCCAAUGCAUCCCAUUCAGCAGAGUAGAGUCCCCCAGGCUAGAAUCAUGACGCCCUCUGUCAAAAUGGAAAAGAUUCAUCCGAAGAUGGAUGGUACACUACUGAAAUCUGCGGCGGGGCCAACCUGUCCUGCUACUGUGAGUUCCUCAGUCAAGCCUGGCCUUAACUGCCCCUCAAUACCAAAGCCAACCUUGCCUUCACCUGGACAGAUGUUGAAUGGCAAAGGGCUUCCUGCACCGCCCACUCUGGAAAAGAAGUCUGAAGAUAAUUCCAAUAACAAGAAAUUUUUAAAUAAGAGAUUAUCAGAAAGAGAGUUUGACCCUGACAUACACUGUGGGGUAAUCGAUCUCGACACCAAGAAGCCCUGCACCCGGUCUUUGACAUGCAAGACACAUUCCUUAACCCAACGGAGGGCUGUCCAGGGUAGAAGAAAACGAUUUGAUGUGUUAUUAGCCGAGCACAAAAACAAAACCAGGGAAAAGGAAUUGAUUCGCCAUCUGGACUCUCAGCAAUCAACACAGCCUCUCAGGGACCCGCAUCUCGCCCCUUCUAGAACUUCACAGGAGCCACACCAAAACUCUCAUGGAGUGAUUCCUUCUGAAUCAAAGCCUUUCGUAGCUAGUAAACCUAAACCUCACACCCCCAGUCUUCCAAGGCCUCCAGGCUGCCCUGCUCAGCAAGGUGGGAGUGCCCCCAUUGACCCUCCUCCAGUCCAUGAAUCUCCACACCCUCCCCUGCCUGCCACUGAGCCAGCUUCUCGGUUAUCCAGUGAGGAGGGAGAAGGCGAUGACAAAGAAGAGUCUGUUGAAAAACUGGACUGUCAUUAUUCAGGUCAUCAUCCUCAGCCAGCAUCUUUUUGCACAUUCGGGAGCCGGCAGAUUGGAAGAGGCUAUUAUGUGUUUGACUCCAGGUGGAACCGGCUUCGCUGCGCCCUCAACCUCAUGGUGGAGAAGCAUCUGAACGCGCAGCUGUGGAAGAAAAUCCCACCAGUGCCCAGUACCACAUCACCCGUCUCCACCCGUGUUCCUCACCGAACAAACUCAGUGCCCACAUCCCAGUGUGGGGUCAGCUGUCUGGCAGCAGCCACCAUGUCUACAUCCCCAGCCCUGCUCUCCUCCGCCUGCAUCUCCCCAAACAGCAAAUCGGUACCAGCUCACGGAACCACACUAAAUGCACAGCCUGCCGCAUCCGGGGCCAUGGACCCCGUGUGCAGUAUGCAGUCCAGACAAGUGUCCUCGUCCUCAUCCCCGUCCACGCCCUCUGGCCUCUCCUCGGUGCCCUCCUCCCCUCUCUCCAGGAAACCUCAGAAGCUGAAGUCCAGCAAGUCUUCAAGGCCCAAGGAGUCUUCUGGGAGCAGCACUGACUGUCACACCAGUGGCAGCCGGGCCAGCGGAACCUCAGGGAAGAAGCGCAAAGCUGGUUCCCCACCGUUAGUUCACUCUGCCUCUGCCGCCGCCGCUGCCGCUGCCUCUUCGUCUCAUUCCAUGGAGUCUUUUAGGAAGAACUGUGUGGCCCACUUGGGGCCGCCCUACCCCUGCACAGUAACAUCUUCCCAUGGCAUCGGCCUCAACUGCGUGACGAAUAAGGCGAACUCGGUGAGUGUCCGGCACGAGCAGUCAGGGAGGGGUGCCCCUGGAGGGAGCCCUGCCGAGUCCAUCAAGAGGAUGAGUGUGAUGGUGAACAGCGGCGACUCCACGCUUUCCCUCGGCCCAUUCAUCCACCAAUCCAGCGAACUGCCCAUCAAUUCCCACGGCGCUCACUCACACUCGCACACUCCUCUGGACAAACUCAUAGGAAAGAAAAGGAAGUGCCCGCCUGGCUCGAGCGGUGUCAGCAGCAGCAGCAGCAGCAAACCCACUAAGGUUGCCAAAUUGCCAGCCAUGAACAAUGUCCACGUGAAACACACAGGCGCCAGCCCGGGGGCACCAGGACUGACGAGCAGCUCCUUCCUUCAUCAGGAUAUCUCCUCACCUUGCUCACGAACAGGAAUUUCAGCAGCAUCACCCCAGAGCCCUGAUCUAAAAUGGGGACCCAUGACUCCAAAGCCUUUAAAGAACGCUGCUCUGAGAAAAGCAGCAAUCUUGCCUCGCUGUUCCUCAUGGAGCCGACCUUAAAGGAGAGAUGACUGAGCUGGGCGAAGGCCCUACACCAGGGAACAAUGCGGUGGCACAUGCUGGGAGCCCAGAGAUGGGGCUCCCCUUCUGUUCACUCUCACCGGCAUGGGCUCUGCUCUGUCCAAAGACACGUCCCUGACAACUGAAAAUAGCGUGGGGAGGAAUAGUCCGGACACUUUUAAUGACAAGUUACACCUCCACUCAGCACCCUGGACUCCGCGAUGCCUUUGAGUCUGUUUUCCCAACCUCCUGCCGGCCUCAAGGGUGGAGAUCUGCAGCUGUUUUUUUUAACAAGGAGUUCCCUGAAGCUAUGUCUGUAGCAGUGAGUACUCGUAAAGGACACUGGAUCAAGUUCAGCCACCGAAUUGCUUCUAUCAGUGUUAACGUGGUCUGGACUACUCGUUACCAAUCUGUGAGAAAUUUUUGUGUUGUUUUUUAACUUGCAGUAUAUCAUGGAGCCACUCUUCGAGUAGAUUGGCUGGGUGAAAGAAUGUUCUGGGAGAACAUUACUAUAGACUUGUCUCCCUCCCUCCUCUCCCCACCCCAGUUCUUUUCUACACUGCCCUCUGCAGGUCACUGCAGCCUUUAGGCACCUUAACUGGAGACACCUUCUGGAGGGGAGACAGCGCUCCCCUGAGCAGCCUCCGGAGGGGGAGAUGAGAAGGGGCGCUGUCACUGGGCGGUAACAGCAGGGUUCCAGGAACGGGAUGUGGGUGUUAGCACCAGGACACCAUAGCCUGUAUUUUGCCCAGCAUUGUGCAAGUAAUUUGGGAUAAGAAACUGUCUGAAGUUUCUAACUUACAGACUGGUUUAAAGUAGUGAUGCCCAGAGAGCAAGCGUACAUCAUUUUAGAGGCUUACUUUUCAUGGUACAAAAGCAAUUCUGUCUGAUUUUUAAAAAAAAGAAAAAUGCAAUCUAGUUUUGAUAAUGGAAAGCCAAAUUUGAGGAGGGUGGAUAAAAAUCACUAUGAGAACAUUUUUCCCAAGAUUUCCAAAGAGGUGAAAUUUUUCUAUCCUUCUUGUCUUCAUGAUAAACAGUGUGGCAGAUUGGGUUGGUUGUCCUUGCCCAGUCUCCUGUUUUCCAAAAAUUGCCUUUAUAAAGUGAAAUUAUCAGGAUGCAGUAGAAACUGUCAUUCACAAAGUCAUUAAUAGACUUAACUGUUUUCAAGGCCCUCUCUGUACUACCCUCUCUCCCCUCGGACACUGCCUGGGAGGAAGGUAAACUACCGCUGUGAGUGCUCUCCACACUGUGUGUGCACUCCCCCUGCCAUCGUAGAGUGUGUCUGGCUGCACUGGGGUGGGGAGCAGGCGUGCAGGGUUGGGGAGGGGGUGAGUAGUCUGUGCACAUGCCCAACACCCUCUUCUCCUGGGACUCAUGCGGGCCAUCUUCCUGAGAGCACUUCAGAGACCCUCCAGCAUACUUCUUCUAGUUCCCCAGCCCAAAAGAAGGAGCUUAAUAUGUUAAACAUCAUUGCUUAAGAAUUUGGGGUAAGUUGGAGCUUCCUAACAGGUGGUUCCACCACCACAGCUCCUGAAAGGAGAGCCAGGCGCCUGUGGAUGUUGCUGAACACAGGGCACUUUCCCUGCCCGGGGCACGCCCGGCAGGCUGUCCUGCAGCCCUUCCUCCCUGCAAUUCUUGGGUUACUUCUGUUUCAGGGACUUUCAGGUCAACAACUGGUGGAAUAAAUAAAUACUUGGUUACCAGCCUAAUAAUGUGAAUUGCUACAGAAUUAAUCUUAUUAUGUAAGAAAACAAAAACUUUAUGCAGAUACUUUAGCUAUAAAUUGAUGUAAAAUACUGAUUUUUUUAAAAGGAUGGGAGAAGAGUAUCUUGUUCACUUAUUAUGCAAUCAAUCAGUAAAUGUUUUUUAAAUGAUGCUACGGCAAAGCUUAGUAAGGAGAGAGCCUGGAUGAGCCAGUGCGGUGUGGUCAGGACAAAUCAGUGUGGUUGUUCCAUCCCAGUGGAGGGAGAGGAGGUGAGAGGGAAUCAGAACGUACUUACUUGAUUCCUUGGUGACAAGUGCAAUGGGGUUUGGGUAGAAUUUAUUUUCAGAGCCAAGGGGACUUGAUGGUUAUAAAUAAAGUUGCUUUUAGCGAUGGAAUUUAUAGACAGAUCAUGUUGUUCCGAAAGAUGUGAAUAGGAUCCACAGUAGCAAGUUGGUUUAGAAUAAUGUAGAUAUAUCUAGAUUAGCGGUGUUGAUCGUUUGAUUUCUUAGACUGAGGUUUUAAUUGGAUUUUUAUUAUGUCUCCCGAUAGUACAAAGAGCAUCGGGAUUAGGAAAUUAGCCAUUUUGGAUUCUGCCUGCCACAAACAGACAUAUUCUAAACAGUGCUAUUAAAUUUUAGACUGUUGUUCAAAUAUUUUAUUUUCUCUUACAGCUGCUUUUUAUUAUGAAAAGUUAAGACCAUUUAAAACACGGGAGUACAAGUAUUUUUUUGAAUUAAAUUAACUUGCAAAAACCAAAUUUGCAGUGGUUGGGUUGUUUCUAGACAGACUUUGGUAUCAAUUUAAAACCAAGAUAAUUUUAUAUUCUUUCCAAUAGAAUUUCAUGACAACUCCUGCAGUUUUCUUAACCGAAAAAAAAGUGCUGCAAUGAUGAACAAAGAAUUAUACAAAACCUACUUUUGUACCUUUAUUUUGGAAUUUCUUGUUCUAUUAUAAAUAUGGAAGUAUCCCUAUCUCAGAAGACAUAUUUUGUUAAAAAUGAAUUGUACAUAUUUAAAUAUGUAUUUUUGCACAGGUCUUUUUUUCUGAUAUCCUGUUUUGGUACAAUUGAGAUCAUCUAGUAUUUAUUUAUUAAUUAAUAAAAGUAAAUACCUUUUUAUAAUUUGAAGUGGUUCACUGCCAAGCCAAUAGUUCUAGAACCUGCCUCCUUUGCAGUUUAAGGGAUGCCUCUGUCCUGUGAACGUCUUUCUGUCCCUUUGACGUCUCGGGAGUGGAUUCAGCCGAUGAAGUGGGCAUUGCUUCUCCCUCGUUGCCUGGCUUCCCGGUGGAUGACUUGUAACUAAGUGACACACUGCUUUUCUUUUGUUUUAUGUGAGAGAGAGAGUGUGUGCCUGUGUGUUUGUAUGUGUACCCUCUGAGCACACGUGUGUUGGUAUGUGAUGUGGUUUAAAACUAAUGGAAAAAAACUGAAAGUGCCUGAACCUAGUUUUAAGCUUAGACAGAUUCUCUUUAAGAAGACUUGAAUGUUCAGUUGAACUUUUGGAGUUUGUUUUUUCCACCUAAAUACUGUGUCUAAAAAUUUAGGGGAGGAGUUGAAAACCACCAAUGCUGGUCAUUUUAUAGGUAUUUUAAAUUAAGACUUGUUGGUUCACCAUAAUUCAGCUGGUGGUGGAUUGCCCAGUGGCACCAGGCGUUACAAAUCUUUUUGUCAGCCAGCAACUUACAUGACGUGUCCAUUUUGUUACUCACUCAUGAAAUACUGAGUUUAAAUAGAAUAUUUAAAUUUUUUGUAUUCCAAAAAUAUAAUACAGAGUACCUCUGAGAACAUUGAAAAAAAUGUGUAAUUUGAAAAAUGUAAUUUAUAAAGGCAGCUGUCUUCCUGCGAGUUCGUUGCCAAGGAAUUCCUUGAUAUCUCAUUCUUUCCUGGGGCAAAUGUUGGGCUUUGGAAAAUGAUUGUUAAAACUUUCAUUGUUUAGAAGAAAGUAAUCAUUUUUACAUUUUGUGCAAAACAUUUUACAUUUUCAGAUCAUUGAAUGAGCACUACAUACUGUCAGGUGAAUGUGGGGCUUGAAAGCAUUUUGCUGUUUUUGGAGCUUGAUCAUAAAAGCAAUCUCCUGUGUUAAAUGUGUGACUAGUUUGGUAAUUGUGCACAGAAUCAAGAGCAUCUCCGCUGGACUUUGUGUUGGCUGCUGUAUAGAAUAAGAACAAAUGUCAAGGGAUAGAAAUUACUUUGGAUAUUUAAAAGAGAAGAAAUAUAUAGUCUAUUUGUUUUGUAACAAGUUUCUGUAAAUAAAAUAAUUUAUACUAUUUAUAAGAAAAAGUUGUGCUUUGCUUUAUGAGAAAUUAGUUUGUGGAACAAACAUGUUACUAAUCGGGCAAUAAAAUUAGGACUUCUCAAUAAAUAAGGUUGGCUGCAUGAACUA